UUUUUUUUUUUUUUACAUGACCUUUUUUUUUUUUUUUUACAUGACCUUUUUUUUUCUUUUCCUUUCCAAUUUAUUCCUGUGGGGUUGAGAGGACUUUUGCUGCAAAGGGAGGGAGGACA
rnacentral:ribozyme from 13 species